rnacentral:rRNA from 1 species
UACGUAGGUGGCAAGCGUUGUCCGGAUUUACUGGGCGUAAAGAGCGCGCAGGCGGUCGUUCAAGUCGCGUGUGAAAGCCCCCGGCUCAACUGGGGAGGGUCACGCGAUACUGAUCGACUCGAAGGCAGGAGAGGGAAGUGGAAUUCCCGGUGUAGCAGUGAAAUGCGUAGAUAUUAGGAGGAACACCGGUGGCGAAGGCGACACUCUGGACAAUAACUGACGCUGAGGCGCGAAAGCGUGGGGAUCAAACAGG